GGACGAACGCUGGCGGCGUGCCUAACACAUGCAAGUCGAACGGAGAUACGAUUUCGAUUGUAUCUUAGUGGCGAACGGGUGAGUAACGCGUGAGCAACCUGACCUUCAGAGGGGGAUAACACUUGGAAACAGGUGCUAAUACCGCAUAAGACCACGACCUGACAUCAGGAUGAGGUCAAAGGAGUAAUCCGCUGAGGGAGGGGCUCGCGUCCCAUUAGAUAGAUGGCGGGGUAACGGCCCACCAUGUCGACGAUGGGUAGCCGAGCUGAGAGGCUGAUCGGCCACACUGGAACUGAGACACGGUCCAGACUCCUACGGGAGGCAGCAGUGGGGAAUAUUGGGCAAUGGGCGCAAAGCCUGACCCAGCAACGCCGCGUGAGGGAAGAAGGCCUUCGGGUUGUAAACCUCUGUCCUUGGUGACGAAACAAAUGACGGUAGCCAAGGAGGAAGCCCCGGCUAACUACGUGCCAGCAGCCGC
rnacentral:rRNA from 1 species